rnacentral:lncRNA from 1 species
CGACAUCGCGAUUCCAGAACAAAGCCAGGAAGAAAGGCUUUUGGAGGGCAGACUAAUUACAGACUCGAACGUUUCCAAUCUUCAGGACGGGAGGGGAACCGCCCUCUCCAUCAGAGCUCUAAUGUCCAGAAUCAGGGUACCUAACCUGCUAAGCAGCUCUGACCUCUUGCGCUCCAGAUCAUCGAGGGACCCUCGAACUGCAGUCUGGUCGUCACCGAGCACAUCGGCCUCCCUUGCGAUGUCCAGCGAGCUGAGCGCCAUCUCCAUCGCGUCUCUGGCUUCUGUCUCUAUCGGAGU